GAUGAACGCUAGCGGCAGGCCUAAUACAUGCAAGUCGAACGGUGUCUUCGGACAUAGUGGCGCACGGGUGCGUAACACGUAUGCAACUUACCUUACAUUGGGGGAUAGCCUUUCGAAAGGGAGAUUAAUACCGCAUAAGACAGUAGCUGGGCAUCCAGCAGCUGUUAAAGAUUUAUCGAUGUAAGCUGGGCAUGCGUCCAAUUAGUUAGUUGGUGAGGUAAUGGCUCACCAAGACGAUGAUUGGUAGGGGAACUGAGAGGUCAAUCCCCCACACUGGCACUGAGAGACGGGCCAGACUCCUACGGGAGGCAGCAGUAGGGAAUAUUGGGCAAUGGACGCAAGUCUGACCCAGCCAUGCCGCGUGCAGGAAGAAGGCGUUCUGCGUUGUAAACUGCUUUUAUAUAGGAAGAAACGACCCUUGCGAGGGGCAUUGACGGUAUUAUAUGAAUAAGCACCGGCUAACUCCGUGCCAGCAGCCGCAGUAACAC
rnacentral:rRNA from 1 species